rfam:Oryza rufipogon genomic scaffold, chr07
UUUAAAUGUAGCCAUAAAUUUUCGUGUACUUCCAACUUUAAUCGUUCGUCUUAUUUGAAAUUUUUUUAUAAUUAGUAUUUUUAUUGUUAUUAGAUGAUAAAACAUGAAUAGUAAUUUAUGUGUGAUUUAUGUUUUUUAAUUUUUUUUAAAUAAGACGAAUGAUCAAAGUUGAACAUAAAAGCUCACGAUUGCACUUAAA